UACGUAGGGUGCAAGCGUUGUCCGGAAUUAUUGGGCGUAAAGAGCUCGUAGGCGGUUUGUUGCGUCGGCUGUGAAAUCCCGAGGCUCAACCUCGGGUCUGCAGUCGAUACGAGCAAACUAGAGUGUUGCAGGGGGAGACUGGAAUUCCUGGUGUAGCGGUGGAAUGCGCAGAUAUCAGGAGGAACACCAAUGGCGAAGGCAGAUCUCUGGGCCGUAACUGACGCUGAGGAGCGAAAGCAUGGGGAGCGAACAGG
rnacentral:rRNA from 1 species